rnacentral:rRNA from 1 species
AUUGAACGCUGGCGGCAUGCCUUACACAUGCAAGUCGAACGGUAACAGGUCUUCGGAUGCUGACGAGUGGCGAACGGGUGAGUAAUACAUCGGAACGUGCCUAGUAGUGGGGGAUAACUACUCGAAAGAGUGGCUAAUACCGCAUGAGAUCUACGGAUGAAAGCAGGGGAUCGCAAGACCUUGUGCUACUAGAGCGGCCGAUGGCAGAUUAGGUAGUUGGUGGGAUAAAAGCUUACCAAGCCGACGAUCUGUGGCUGGUCUGAGAGGACGAUCAGCCACACUGGGACUGAGACACGGCCCAGACUCCUACGGGAGGCAGCAGUGGGGAAUGUUGGACAAUGGGCGCAAGCCUGAUCCAGCAAUGCCGCGUGCAGGAUGAAGGCCUUCGGGUUGUAAACUGCUUUUGUACGGAACGAAAAGCCCCGGGUUAAUACCCUGGGGUCGUGACGGUACCGUAAGAAUAAGCACCGGCUACCUACGUGCCAGCAGCCGCCGUAA